rnacentral:rRNA from 1 species
GACGAACGCUGGCGGCGUGCUUAACACAUGCAAGUCGAACGGAAAGGCCCUGCUUUUGUGGGGUGCUCGAGUGGCGAACGGGUGAGUAACACGUGAGUAACCUGCCCUUGACUUUGGGAUAACUUCAGGAAACUGGGGCUAAUACCGGAUAGGAGCUCCUGCUGCAUGGUGGGGGUUGGAAAGUUUCGGCGGUUGGGGAUGGACUCGCGGCUUAUCCGCUUGUUGGUGGGGUAGUGGCUUACCAAGGCUUUGACGGGUAGCCGGCCUGAGAGGGUGACCGGCCACAUUGGGACUGAGAUACGGACCAGACUCCUACGGGAGGCAGCAGUGGGGAAUAUGGCACAAUGGGCGGAAGCCUGAUGCAGCAACGCCGCGUGCGGGAUGACGGCCUUCGGGUUGUAAACCGCUUUCGCCUGUGACGAAGCGUGAGUGACGGUAAUGGGUAAAGAAGCACCGGCUAACUACGUG